GUGGUACUCCCUCCGUUCGAAAUUACUUGUCGCAAAAAUGGAUGUAUCUAGAUGUAUUUUAGUUCUAGAUACAUCCAUAUCCGAGACAAGUAAUUCCGAACAAAGGGAGUAAUAA
rfam:Triticum urartu cultivar G1812 contig599062, whole genome shotgun sequence.